rnacentral:lncRNA from 1 species
CGGCCGCGGGGCGCAGGCCUGGUGAAAGCCCCCGCGGGCCGGGCCGUGAUGAGCUAUGGCAUCGGUCAAGGUGGCCGUGAGAGUCCGGCCCAUGAAUCGCAGAGAAAAGGACUUGGAGGCCAAGUUCAUCAUUCAAAUGGAGAAAAGCAAAACGACAAUCACAAACUUAAAGAUACCAGAAGGAGGAACUGGGGAUUCAGGCAGAGAACGGACCAAGACCUUCACCUAUGACUUCUCUUUUUAUUCUGCUGACACAAAGAGUCCAGAUUAUGUUUCACAAGAAACGGUUUUCAAAACUCUGGGCACAGAUGUUGUGAAAUCUGCAUUUGAAGCUACUUAGAAAUUUAUAAUGAACGUGUGAGAGACCUACUUAGGCGGAAGUCAUCUAAGACCUUCAAUUUAAGAGUCCGUGAGCAUCCCAAAGAAGGACCGUAUGUUGAGGAUUUAUCCAAGCAUUUAGUCCAGAAUUACAGUGAUGUGGAAGAACUUAUGGACGCAGGAAAUAUCAAUCGUACCACUGCAGCGACGGGGAUGAAUGAUGUCAGUAGCAGGUCGCACGCCAUCUUCACCAUCAAGUUCACUCAGGCAAAGUUCGACGCCGAAAUGCCGUGUGAAACUG